GGCGCGGGCCGCCUGGCUGAGGGGAGCGGGAGAGCCCGGACCGGCCCGGCCGCCAUGGCGGCUGCGGCGGUGGACAGCGGCUUCCUCCGCUCCCCGCGGGGCGCUGUGAAGAUCGCCCGCGCGGUGGUGGCGUUCGUAACGUUCCUCUGCUUCGUGGCGUCCCGCUCGGGCGGGGCGUACACCGCCCUGGCCCUCAUGGAGACGGUCAUCACGGCGCUGUUUUUUCUGCUGUACUUGCUAAAGCUGGACAAGAAGAUGAGGUGGCUCUUCUGGCCGCUGGCGGAUAUUUUCAACUCGGUGAUUGCAGCGUUGUUCCUCCUCAUUGUGUGCCUGUUUGCAAUAAUAAUCAAGACCAACAAUGGGACACUGGCUGGAGGACUUGAAAUUCUAGGUGGGAGAAUCACUGGCUCCUUUAGGACUAUCCAGUCUGAUUACACUAUUUAAGAAGAAAUGCCUACAAUCCUGCUAAAAAGAGUUGAAACUUCUUAACAGACAUGCUGGUGUUUGGUCUUGUAUUGCUUGUUCUCUGUGUCGUCGAUGCAGUUCUUCUUUUCCAGAAGAUUAGCCUUGGUGCACCAAGAGGAAGGAAUACUCCUGCAAAAUAAGAUUACCAUUUUAGUGAAAGAGCACUUUCCUCACUGAUGACCGCUUUACUGUUCCCUUUUAAAAAAUUUGUAUUGUCAGGUGUUCACCUUUGAAUUCCCUGUGCAUUUAUGUACAUUUUUGCAAGUAUUGUUCCUAAGUUUUCUUAGGCUUACAAAUGUAGUUUCAGUGUUGCAAUUUCACCAGUAUAAGCUUCACAGAGAAUUGUCCUGUUUUUCUAAACUUAAUUACAUUUUUACCUGUAUGAAACUUAAGUUUCAGAAUUGUCUCUCUGUAAUAAAAAGAAAAUACAAAUA